AGUGAACGCUGGCGGUAGGCCUAACACAUGCAAGUCGAACGGCAGCACAGUAAGAGCUUGCUCUUACGGGUGGCGAGUGGCGGACGGGUGAGGAAUACAUCGGAAUCUACUUUUUCGUGGGGGAUAACGUAGGGAAACUUACGCUAAUACCGCAUAUGACCUACGGGUGAAAGCAGGGGAUCUUCGGACCUUGCGCGAUUGAAUGAGCCGAUGUCGGAUUAGCUAGUUGGCGGGGUAAAGGCCCACCAAGGCGACGAUCCGUAGCUGGUCUGAGAGGAUGAUCGGCCACACUGGAACUGAGACACGGUCCAGACUCCUACGGGAGGCAGCAGUGGGGAAUAUUAGGCAAUGGGCGCAAGCCUGAUCCAGCCAUACCGCGUGGGUGAAGAAGGCCUUCGGGUUGUAAAGCCCUUUUGUUGGGAAAGAAAAGCAGCAGGUUAAUACCCCGCUGUUCUGACGGUACCCAAAGAAUAAGCACCGGCUAACUUCGUG
rnacentral:rRNA from 1 species